rnacentral:rRNA from 1 species
AGCAGUAGCCGCGGGAAUACAGAGGGUGCGAGCGUUAAUCGGAUUUACUGGGCGUAAAGCGUGCGUAGGCGGCUUCUUAAGUCGGAUGUGAAAUCCCUGAGCUUAACUUAGGAAUUGCAUUCGAUACUGGGAAGCUAGAGUAUGGGAGAGGAUGGUAGAAUUCCAGGUGUAGCGGUGAAAUGCGUAGAGAUCUGGAGGAAUACCGAUGGCGAAGGCAGCCAUCUGGCCUAAUACUGACGCUGAGGUACGAAAGCAUGGGGAGCAAACAGGAUUAGAUACCCGAGUAGUCCCUGUCUCUUAUCC